UACAGAGGUCCCGAGCGUUGUUCGGAUUCACUGGGCGUAAAGGGUGCGUAGGUGGCAUGGCAAGUUUGAUGUGAAAGCUCAGGGCUUAACCCUGAAAUGGCAUUGAAUACUGCUGUGCUGGAGGUUUGGAGGGGGGACUGGAAUUCUUGGUGUAGCAGUGAAAUGCGUAGAUAUCAAGAGGAACACCAGUGGCGAAGGCGAGUCCCUGGACAACACCUGACACUGAGGCACGAAAGCCAGGGGAGCGAACGGG
rnacentral:rRNA from 1 species